GACGAACGCUGGCGGCGUGCCUAAUACAUGCAAGUCGAGCGCAGGAAAUCGACGGAACCCUUCGGGGGGAAGUCGAUGGAAUGAGCGGCGGACGGGUGAGUAACACGUAAAGAACCUGCCCUCAGGUCUGGGAUAACCACGAGAAAUCGGGGCUAAUACCGGAUGGGUCAUCGGACCGCAUGGUCCGAGGAUGAAAGGCGCUUCGGCGUCGCCUGGGGAUGGCUUUGCGGUGCAUUAGCUAGUUAGUGGGGUAAUGGCCCACCAAGGCGACGAUGUAUAGCCGACCUGAGAGGGUGAUCGGCCACACUGGGACUGAGACACGGCCCAGACUCCUACGGGAGGCAGCAGUAGGGAAUCUUCCACAAUGGACGAAAGUCUGAUGGAGCAACGCCGCGUGAACGAUGAAGGCCUUCGGGUCGUAAAGUUCUGUUGUAAGGGAAGAACAAGUGCCGCAGGCAAUGGCGGCACCUUGACGGUACCUUGCGAGAAAGCCACGGCUAACUACGUGCCAGCCGCCGCAGUAACAC
rnacentral:rRNA from 1 species